rnacentral:rRNA from 1 species
AUUGAACGCUAGCGGCAUGCUUUACACAUGCAAGUCGAACGAGUGGCGAACGGGUGAUUAAUAUAUCGGAACGUACCGAGUAAUGGGGGAUAACCAAUCGAAAGAUUGCUAAUACCGCAUCUUAUUCGAGCGGCCCAUAACGGAUUAGCUAGUUGGUGGGGUAAAGGCCUACAAAGGCGACGAUCAUUAGCGGGUCUGAGAGGACGAUCCGCCACACUGGGACUGAGAAACGGCCCAGACUCCUACGUGAGGCAGCAGUGGGGAAUUUUGGACAAUGGGGGCAACCCUGAUCCAGCCAUGCCGCGUGUAUGAAGAAGGCCUUCGGGUUGUAAAGUACUUUUGUUAGGGAAGCGGUACCUAAAGAAUAAGCACCGGCUAACUACGUGCCAGCUGCCGCGGUAAUAC